GUGGGGAAUCUUGCGCAAUGGGCGAAAGCCUGACGCAGCCAUGCCGCGUGAAUGAUGAAGGUCUUAGGAUUGUAAAAUUCUUUCACCGGGGACGAUAAUGACGGUACCCGGAGAAGAAGCUCCGGCUAACUUCGUGCCAGCAGCCGCGGUAAUACGAAGGGGGCUAGCGUUGCUCGGAAUUACUGGGCGUAAAGGGCGCGUAGGCGGACAGCUUAGUCAGAGGUGAAAGCCCAGGGCUCAACCUUGGAAUUGCCUUUGAUACUGGCUGUCUUGAGUUUGGGAGAGGUGAGUGGAACUCCGAGUGUAGAGGUGAAAUUCGUAGAUAUUCGGAAGAACACCAGUGGCGAAGGCGACUCACUGGCUCGAUACUGACGCUGAGGUGCGAAAGCGUGGGGAGCAAACAGGAUUAGAAACCCCUGUAGUCC
rnacentral:rRNA from 1 species